UUCUCUUGUACACAUACUCCUUCAUUAACGAGAACACGGGGGAUUUUUUUUUUGGGGUGGAGGGGGGGUUGCCUCUUCUUCAUCAUCUGAAGGAACACUCCAUUUCUUGGAAUUGGUACGUAAAACACCACUCAACCUUACCACAAAAAGCAUGACCCUCACCUCAAUUUUCCAUGGUUUCUUAGGAAGGGGUAGACGCACACACACAGUAACAUACAUACACACACAAACCAGUGAAAAGAAGGGGCCAAAUAUUUCAUUUUUAGGGAGAGAUUGGAACAGAGAGGGAGAGAGAUCAGAGAAACCAAAUCGAGAGAGUGUUAGGCAAAGAAAAGAGAUAUGAGGGAGAAAGCAGACAGGGGGAAGUGAUCGGAAACUGGCAAACCCGGCCAGAAAAUGUUGGGACUCUCCAGAAUCCUUCUUGACUCAUCAUUUUUUUCCACCGCCUGAGCUCACCGGAGCUCAGGCUACACGGAUUUUGUUUUUCUAACGUGUUGACUGGCUUUUAGGUUAGUCUAUUCUCGUGGUUCAUUAUGGAUAUCGGAUUUCAGGGUCUUCACGAUUAAGUGGUCAGUAUUCGUGGAUUGGAACUCUGUUCAUCUCAAUCAGUCCAUCGCUAUCAAUAUCAAAGUUGGAAUUCGAUUUGGAGAUUCAUGUUGAGGUUCCGGUUUAAGAAUUUCGAUUUCAGAUUUUUUUAUCAACAACCAGGACAAGUUUCAUUGAGGUUCAUUUUUUCUCCUGAUCUUUACUUUAUCUUGAUUUUUUAUUGAUGUUGUGGGUGUGAGUGAUUUAUGUGUUGUGUGUUUAGUUUGAAUCUUCGUUAGUUGUUUGUAUUUGAUGUUCGUUUCAGAUUUUGAGACGUGAUUGGAUAAUUGAAGCAUGCGCUAAUCAUGUGGUUAAAAAUGGACUUGGGGUGGAAUCAAAAGUUUCUAAAAGUUGCAUAGUUAAAUUUUGGUCGAUUGUCGUUUUUUUCAAUUCGGGAUAAACAUGAAUGUGAUCGAGCUCAGAUAGGUAAACAUAGGUCGGGUAGCUGAAUUUAGGGAUUGUGAAUUGAUAGAAUACUUGAGUGGUGUGAUUGAAUGGUUUUUGACUAUAUUGCUUUGGGAUCACUUGUAUCAUUUGGCCGGAGAAUGCCCCGAAGUACUUGUAUUAUUUUAUUCGGGGAAUGGCCCGAGGUAUUUUGUAUCCGGAGGCCCAAGGCAGCGGGUAAAAUGUUGGAGCAUAGUUUAGUAUAGGUUAGAAUAGGAUUUAUAUUUUUUGCAUUUUUUUUACUUUGAACUGUAUAAUUGGACUGAACAUUAUAAUUUGGAUUUUGAUUUGGUUUGUGUUUGUUUGUUUGAUUGUUGUGUGUUAUGUGGUUUAUACAUUCGUAGUGUCAGAAUUAGCCAAUACGCUCCACCAAGAGACCGUGGUCGAACCACGGGAUCGAGGGGUGCCUAACACCUCCCCCUUGGUCAACAAAAUUCCUUAGCCGAAAUCUCUGUUCGCAGAUUAGUUUAAUGAGUCAAAUCAUUUUGAGAAGGAUUUUUCAACAGUGACUUGUCACACCGGAUUUAUGUCAAGUGGCGACUCUGAGUUUUGAAUGUAAAAAUAAUCAUUUUUUAGAACAAAUCUUCAUUUUUGUCACUUACUAGUAAAAACCCUUUCAAACCAUAAAAUGGAUCUUUUUGGAGUUAAAAAAGGGGUGUGACAAUUUUCAUAAAACUUCAGAUAACAAUUUUGUAUCAACUGUGUAAGAAAAAUUAUUCAUUGAAUUUGUUAUUUCCUACAAAAAGAAUUUAAAAAAUCAAGAAUAAAAAUAUGAAAUUCACGUUGACUAACGUAUAAAACUAUAUGAAAUUCACGUUGACUAACGUAUAAAAUUUGUUUCACGGAUAAAAUUUAUAUUGCAAGAAAAUAAGGAAAAAAUAAAUAUUUGUGUAUGAAAAAAUUAAGAAUAAAAUGUGGAUUUCAACAAUUUGAUCGAAGUGUAUGCAAUGAAAGCAAUUUAAAGUAAUUAUUAAUAUCAAUGAAAAUAAAGUAUGAAAGAACAAAGAAACGCAUAUGAGAGAAAUUUAUGAAAAGACAACAUUAUUAAAUUUUUUGAAAGGAUUAACUAAUAUAAAAAAAUUAUUUAAGAAAAUGAAAGAAGGAGAAAUUUUGGAUUUCUUAUAAUCCUUUUACCGUAUUUUCUUUCUUUUCUUUUUUACUUUGUUAGGUGGAGGAUUAAGGAGAAAAUUAAGAACUUAUUAUCAAUCCUUUAUUUUAGAAAAUAGAUGAGGGAGAAAGAUAAAUUCAAAUAUUUAAGAGAGAUUUUAACUGAUUAUAUAUAUAUUUAAAAAUUGCUAUAGCUUACAAUUAAAAACUUAAUUCAACAAAUAUAGAAAAAAAUAUAGUUACAAUGUACAAUAAAUAAUUUAAAAAGUACAUACAAAAUAAUUUUUACAUAAAAUAAUGGUAAAUUGACACAAUGUAACAAUUUAUGAUCCAAUUUGACAUCUAAUAACGAUAUUUAACAUUUCUAGCCGAAAUAAAUAACCCAUAAACUUUUUCUCUUUCUAUGAAUUGUUCUACAGUAUAUAUGAAUCAUUUUUCCAAUUUUUUUGGAAAAUCAAGUGAUUUAAGAAUCCAAAGGAAAAACACACCAGUUUUUUGUUCCCCCAUUAACGUGCAUGCAUGCGGUGCAGAAACAACUGCAGAAAUGUGAAAUGCGGCCUCGAAAGGGAUGCAAACCUUCGAGGAAAUAACACACUAUUUUGAGAAAAAGUAUGAUUUUUUGGAUGGUUGUGGUUGUUCGGAAAAGAUACACUUUUUCAAAUGGACAGUGUUAGGAAUCAGGCAGAAAUAAAGCAAACCACAAGCAAAAAGAAAAUAAGAGCACACAGAUUUAUGUGAAAAUCCUUGCAGAAAAAACUACGGGCAGAGGCAGAGGAUGUUUCACUAUAAUGAAAGGAGAGGAGUACAAUGUGGAGAAUGAGUAUUUUCUGGGUACCCAAAACAACCCAGUAAAUGCACUUAUAUAAUAUGUGCAUGCAAAAAAGUCCUAGGCCCAGAAAACAUAAAGGUGUAUGGGUCUAUCGACCCGAUUCCUAUGCUACAACCACAGACCCCAUUGAAAAUCACAAACAUGGAUCGCACCACGAAACUUUCUGGGCCGGAUCAAUAAAAUUAGGGUCACAACUCUAACAAUCUCCACCUUGACAUGAAUUCUAAUUCAGAACUCAAAUCCAUUUCAAGACAAACUCUCCACCCCUUCCACAAAAGCCCCUAAGGGCAUAUCUUAACAGCUAACACUAACCAAGUCCAAGCAAUGCUCAAACUUGGCACAUGGUAGUGUCUUGGUCAUCAUAUCAAUAGGAUUAUCAUAAGUACUAAUCUUGCUCACCACAAUAUCACCACGAGCAAUAAUUUCACGCACAAAAUAAUACCAAAACAUCAAUGUGCUUUGUCCUCUCAUGACCCAUCAGAUCUUUCAUAAGGAAGAUAACACUCUAACUGUCGCAAAAGGCUAUUGCAAUCUGUAAGUCUUUGCUAAGUUUACCAAACAGACCUUUCAACCAAAUAGCUUCCUUUAAAGCCUCUAUAAUAGCCAUAUACUUUACCUCAGUAGUUGACAAAGCAACCGUAGUCUGUAAGGUAGCUUUCCAACUAAUAGCACAACUACCAAUGGUGAAAACAUAGCUGUAAGAGAUCUCCUUUUAUCAUGAUCUCCUGUAAAAUCAGAAUAAGCAUACCCGAUUACUCUAUCUCUAUAUCUCCCAAAAUGCAAACAAACAUCAGCAGAUCCAUGCAAGUAUCUGAAAAUUCACUGAACUGCUUUCCAAUGUUCUUUGCUAGGAUUUUCCAUGUAUUUGCUAACUAAACUAAUGACAUAAGAUAAAUUUGGUUGUGAACACACCAUCACAUACAUAAGAGACCCGAUAGCACUAGAGUAUGGAAAUCGCGAUGUAUAGUCACACUCAUCAUCUAUUUUUGGAGAUAAAGUGGCCAAGAGUUUAAAGUGAGCUGCCAAUGGAGUACUUACAGGUUUGGCAUUUUGCAUAUUGAACCUGUGAAAUACUUUUUUAAUUUGUUCUUUCUGACUCCAGUAUAACUUACAAUUCUUUCCAUCCCUCAGAAUUUCCAUACCAAGAAUCUUCUUUGCUUCACUUAGAUUCUUCAUAUCAAACUCCUUUCUGAGCUGGGUUUUAAAUUUUAUUGUCUCUCUUAUAUCCUUUGCUAUAAUAACCAUAUCAUCAAUUCACAAGAGAAGAGAGUAAUCCACAGAUUUUUUAUAGUCUGUGAGAUAAUAGUGUGGGAGUAAUAUUGUAGUGAGUUUUGAGAAAUAAAAGUGUGUUGUUUCGUUUAUAAAUAGUAGUUGUUUUUGACACUGUCAAGUUGUAAUCACUAUAUGUAUUCCUCCAUUGAGUAUUUUACUCACCCCGUUAUAAUAUUUGGUGUCAUUGUUACUCUCUUGUUAUUGCUAUUUUUUGUGGAUAUUAUCCUGGGUGGAAAUAUUUAUUUUCCCAAUACUAAGAAUGUGGAGGUGGAGUGGAAUAGAUUAUUUAUGCACAUUCUAGGAUGGAACCACUAUGGUUUUGUUCAUAUUAAAGAGGAACUUGUUUCUAAUAAAUCUGGGUCAGGGGAUGUGUUAUGAAAUGAACCAUGGCAUGUGGUAUAUAGAGGUUGCAAUGAUAGCAAUAGUAGUGCUGGGUUUGGUACUUGCUUUAGUAGGAGGAGUAACAACGAGAGAGGACUUUGACCAAAAAGAUUAAUUUGAAGCUUCGAAGGGUUUUCAUUAUUAAGUGACAAAAUAGAAAUUUGUUUCAAAAAGAAAUUUUUAUAUUUAAAACUCAGAGUCACCACUUAGCAUAAUCCGGUGUGACAAGUCACCUUUGGAAAUCCUUUUCAAAAUGGUUUUAACUCUAUAACUGAUCUGCGAAUAGAGAUUCUAGUUAAGGAAUUCUGUUGACCGAGGGGGAGGUGUUAGGCACCCCUCGAUCCCGUGGUUCGACCACAGUCGCUUGGUGGAGCAUAUCGGCUAAUUUGACAUUAUGAAUAUAUAAACCCCACAAAAUUACACAAAACAAUCAAACAAACAAAUAAACAAAACAAAUAUAAAAUUAGUCCAGUCCGAUUAUUACAAUCCUGAAAUAGAAAAAUGCGAAAAUAUAAGCCUAUUCUAUUCUAUGCUAAUUCUAAACUACACUCCCUUGCUUUCUCUACCCGACGUUUCGGGACUUGAUCGUGCGUCAUCUUCAAGUAUAUGGUACUUCAAGCAUUCUCCGGAUAAAUCAAUACAAAUCCUUCAGGGCAUCCCCCGACCAAAUAAAUACAAUAGAUCUCAAUGCAUAAAUCAAAACCAUUCCACAAACAUUUCAUCAUUCAACAAUCACAAAUCAUAAGUUUUGCGUACCCCCUAUCGCUUCCCUAUCCUUAUGAUGGCCUAUCUUAUGCUAUUAUUAUGUUCAACAUAAUGAAUCAAAAUUAAUCCAAAUUCAACAACAUCCCUAUCCAUUUCAUGUCAAACAAUCAAUUCAAAUUACUUCAUUAAUCUCUGAUUCCCAUCCCCAAAUUUAUACACGACAGUUUAAACAUAAGAACAACUCUCCAUCCAUAUCAUCAUCGAUUUCAUGAUUACGACUACUUAUUUACGUAAAACAGCACUAAUUAUCAACAAAACUGUUCAGUCAACAAACAACGUACUACCACAACAUCCAUGCACCAAAUAUCAUAAACAAGGAAGUCAAAAGAGUAAAGAUUAGAAAUGGACCUUCAAAGAAUGAAUUUCUUUGAGAAUAAUGUUUAAGAAGGCCCGAACAUAGAAUCCCGAAUAAAAUACCUCGACAAUGAACUAAAAUCAAACUCGGUAUUUGAGAAAUUGCAACCAACGACAGACCACGAUGAGCAGACUGACCCAAACCAAAUGCAGUACCCACAUUGACUGAUUUCAAAAUCGACUUGGAUAAAAAUGGGUGACGCUGUUGUUGUUCUCCUGGACAUCAUAAAUUGAUUCGGACCAAAUUCAAAACCAGCAAGACAAACUCAAUACGAACUCCUAAAUUGAUAAUUUUGAACAGAAUUGCGAAUUGAAAACCAAAACUAGUUUGACCCAGAAUAGGAAUUGGAAAAACAAACCACGCACGAACCCAUUUCCGAUCCGGGGAAAACAGACCACCCCCUCCCAAAAUUUGGCAAGUUGACUGGGUUUCCCCUCACUUUUUUUGUUUUAUUCUCAGUUUCUAAUCUCCGAUCCCCCUCUCUCACACAUGAUUCACUAUUGUUCCCAACUAUUUUUUGUUCUCAAUAGCUGGGUGCAUGGAUGGAAGUGUGGAUUUCACUUCGGUAAGGGUCCUUUUUUGGUGACAGUGGUGUGUAUAUGUGAUAGUGUGUGUAGUUCUCUUGGGACCAAGAAAAAGGAAAAAGAAAUGGAGUAUGUAUGUGAUGGGUGAGGUCCUCCAUGAGAAUGAGUGUUGUUGUGAUGGUGGAGAAGAAAAGAAAAUUCCCCACUGUGUGUUGUACGUCUAUGGUGAAGAAGCCAUUAAGAUUAUUCUGUGUGGGUGUUGAGAAAGUGAGGAAAUUUUGAAGUGUUCUUUGUACCCUUGGUCAAUUGAGAGUGGUGAGUAUAUGGGUUUAUGUGUAUGUGUGAAUUGUGCCCCCCUCUAAUUCUCCUUCCUCAAUUUGGUAUUUUUUUAAGUAUAUAAAAAUGGAAAAGAUCGCUAUAAGCUGUAUCCCCCAAUUCCCGUGGGGCCCUCUUCCCUUUUUGUUGUAUGUGUAAUUUGUUAUGGACAAAGAAGGAAAAAACUUGAGAUGGAAAUAGGUGGGGUCACGUGGGUAGGUAGGGUAGGGGUAGGGUGUUGAUGAGGUGUAAAAAUUAGUUAGGAUAAAGGAAUAUUUUGGGAUUGGUGAUUUAAUUUGUUAGGAUUUAUUGUAUUUGUUUUCUUGUGGGGAAAGUAUAGAAUGGGUGAGGGUGACUUGGGAGGGACAAAAUUAGGUGUCUACAGUAUGCCCCCUUUGAAUGUAAACAUGAAGUGUUUUCAGUCAAAGAAGUAGACAACUAGACAAAAUUUUAUCCCGACCAUUAUUCAAAAAGAAUGAAACAGAAGGAAGGAGGGAAACCAAGUCUUGACUUUGGACAUCAUACUCAUUCCUAGUUAUGAGGGAAUCAAAUCACAGGUAUCUCAAAGGAUUGGAAGGAGAGGGACUAGACUGAGUUGGAGAGUCGAGUAAGGUUCCGGCGAGGUUCCAGUCCGUGACUCUGUCAUUACAUAAAAAAUGAAAAUUACGAGUUAAAACAUAAAUAAAAUUACAAAAAUUCUAUUUAUGCGGCUUCUUUUGGACUCUUGACUUGAGUUUCAUCACCCUAUUCUUCAGGCGGGAUCCUGACUUGAAAUUUCUUCAACUUGUUGCCUGACUUUCAAUUUCUUCUCCCUGUUCUCUAGGUGGGCUCCUGACUUGCUUUUUUUCAAUUUGUUGACUUUCAAUUUCUUCACCUUGUUGUUUGACUUUCCAUUUAUUCGCCCUGUGCUUCGGGCGGGCUCCAAUAUUGCUUGAAUUAUCAAAAUAAGGAAGUGCGUCUCCUUACAGAUGUUGCUAGAAUUACCAAAACAAGGAAGUAUGUCUCCUUACCAAUGUCGCUUAAAUUACCAAAACAAAGAAGUGUGUCUCCUUACCAAUGUUGCUUGAAUCACCCAAAUAAGUAAGUGCAUCUCCUUAUAAAUGUUUCUAGAAAUACCCAAACAGGAAAGUGCGUCUCUUUACCAAUGCCUCUUAAAUUACCAAAAUAAGGAAGUUCAUCUCCUUACCAAUGCCGCUUAAAUUACCAAAAUAAGGAAAUGUGUCUCCUUACCAAUGCAGCUUGAAUUACCCAAACAAGGAAGUGUGUUUCCUUACAAAUGUUGCUUGAAUUGUCCAAACAAGGAAGUGUGUCUCCUUACAAAUGUUGCUUGAAUUACCCAAACAAGGAAGUGCAUCUCCUUACAAAUACCACUUGAAUUACCAAACAAGGAAGUACGUCUCCUUACAAAUACCACUUGAAUUACCAAACAAGAAAGUGUGUCUCCUUACAAAUGUUGCUUGAAUUGCCUAAACAAGGAAGUGCUUCUCCUCGAGAUAUUGGAUUAUGAGCUUCACAAUGGUUUUUGAUUACCAGACCUGUGCAGCAACAUUGCCUCUUGUGUUUAUAGAAAUGAGAAUAUUACAUCCUCUGAUGUCUAGGCUUUGAAAUUCUUGAUCUGAAUGUAACAUGUGUUCUUGUUUCAUACAAAGAAAACUUGUGAGUUUAAAAACAUGGUGGCUGGUUUGUGGCUUUAGCUUUUGCAAAAAUGGCUCUUUCCCCCGUCACAUUUAACCUUGCUUCCAACCAUUAGCAUAUGUCAUCGACUUGCUGCAUCAUUGACCAAACUCAGAUUAUCAAGAGUGACUCUGAAACAAACACAAUAUCUAUGCUUUUCCGUGCUUCUCAGAUAAACCCUUUGAACCUUGGUAUUUCCAUGAGUUUCCAGACUUGUCAAUUGACAAAAAUUUCUGCAUGUCUUAUUUCGGCUCACAAUCAUGUCUCUUUCAUGUGUUGGCCUUUUGUCUUGCUUUGCGCAAUUGAAAAAGCUAGUAGCCAGUUUUGAAAUCUUUUCUCACUUGUUUUGAUAUAGACUUGACUCAAAGACAAGAGAAAAAUGGCGAUGACUUUUAUUUUGACAACUGACUCAAGAAAACAAAAUAAAAAACAAAAGAAGAAAGAAAAACAAUGAAUUUCCCAUUUGAAACAAAGAAAUGAAAAAUUAUCUAGAAAUGACAGUCAACUCUAAUGAUUGUGCCAUGCAUUUUGGAUUAAUCUGCCUGAUCUUUCCAUCCAAACUUUCUACCAAUUGUUGUUGAGUUAAUGGCCAUGAAACUGAGUUGUUUCUUUAGGUCAAUUGCCUUUAAGACCUCAUUUGGAUAGUGACACCUUGAAGGAUUUUUACCAACAAGCCUUUGUCAUUCUUUUUUUCUCAGCUCACUAUUUUCUUAUGGUGUUUGUGAGGGUUUUUCACCAAUGAGACUCUUAUUUACAUUUUUCCCAACUCACAGUCGUCUUACAGUACCCGUAAGGGUUUUCAUCGAUAAUACUCUCUCAUUUUUAUCUCUCUCGACUUACCAUCGUCUUAUGGUGCUCGUGAGGGUUUUCACUAAUAAGACUCUCAUUUUUAUUUAUCUCCUGAUUCCUUAGGCUGAGGAAGACAAAUAGUUCCAAAAAUGUGUCAUCAUAUCCCUUGCAUGCUUAGCCUUAACAUUCUCAAAGAUCUUUCUUUAGUUUUACAUUGGCCUUUGGAUAGGGUUAGAAAGAAAGGAUGACAUAAGGCUCAAACGACACUUGAAGUGGGGUAGGACUUACAACUUUUGGAAUCGACUCAAACAAUGAGGAUUAACCCAUGCCCCAGUUUCUUUGGCAAGGUGACUCUAAACUAUUUAUUUGGUUGGACCGAGCUCAGAGUAGGGCAGCCUAUGUAUCUCACCCUGAAAAGAAGAGAAUCAGUCACGCGUAGUUCUGGCGGCUUGUUUUGCUUGAUUCUGAUUUCUUUUUUUCUUUUGAAUUUUUUUUUCUUUGUGAUUUUCCUGACUUUAUUUUUCUUGACACUCUUUUUUCUUUUUGGACAUAUUUUUUCUCUCUUCUUAUUUUUUUUUGAAACUUUCUGACUCUAUUCUUUUGCUCGACACUUUUCUUUUGAGUUUUUUCCUGACUUUAUCUUGAUUCCAAAAGAGGGGUAUGAAAGAAAAUAGGACUAAAGCUCAAAUGGGGUAAACAAAGGAUGAUGCAAUGUUUGGAUAGCAGAAAUUCCUUCGUCAUAUCAAUCCUUAAAAAAUACAAGUACAUAUCAUGCAAUAUGGAAGUUAAAGAUGAAAGAUCAUUUGUGACAUCUUUUACAGCAUUAACUUUGACUGAGUCUAUGCGUCACUACUUCUUCCUCAAACUCCACCUUUGUUGUACAUUCCUCACAUCAAAUGACUCAUGCUUUCGUGAAGCUGAUUUUUCUGUCCCUCGGGAUCACACAUCCGCUAUUUGACCUAAUUGAGCAAUGUUUUUCAAUUGAUCAAAUUAUUCUUGUCAUUCUCAAAAUAAUUGCCUUAAUUUUCAAAGAACGUUUGAACUUGUCACCAAAUGUCUCAGCACUCUACCUAUUUUCUCAGAUGCUCUCUUUUUCUAACUUUAGCCCUCUGAUUCAAUGUUUCAUGGUUAAUCUGGAUUUUAAGAUCCAGCUGAAAAUUCUCCAGGCAUGUCAUAACACUAGAAUCAACAUAAAAUAUGAUGCGUAAAGAAAAUAAACACAUAUUUAAAAUACAAAGGGAAAGGGACACUUCAUUUAGUUGAAAUAAAAUAUAGAAAGGUUUGAACAUAGAAAACACAGGGACAAAACAAGAUAGAUCCUGAACUACAACCUUUAAAUAUUUGAAAAACAGAAAAGAAAAGAAAACAAACUACCAGACCUCUUCCUAGUAGGGAGAGGGGUGACUUCACAAUUGCUCAGCCUGACAUCUUAGCCACUGGUUUUCAUAUCAUCAUGACUAGAGCUUUUCUCACUGUCAAUGGUCUGCACCAUAAUUUAUUUAUCUUGAAUCAUGUUUUCUAUUUCGCUUUUCAAAGAACGACAAUCUUCAAUACUGUGACCCUGAACAUCAGAAUGAUAUGCACAUCGUACAUUAGCAUCAAAACUUCUUGAAUGUAGGUCAGGAGUAUACAUAAGGAGAGGAGUGAUCAUGCCCUACUAUACCAAUCUCAGGAAUAAACUUGCAUACGACUCUCUGAUUGGUGUGAAACUAUCUCUCAACUUCUGUCUCAUUUCAUCGUUUGUCUUAAAUUAAAAACCUGGCCUAGAAGGGCUUCGAUAUGUAUCUGGAGUUAAAGGAUGACUCGACAGAGUUGGCAUGAGCCAGUGUGGGUAAGAUGGAGGUUGAACAUAUGGUUGUGCAUUAUACACUUGAUAUGGAGGUGGGGAAAUGGAAAAUAAUGGAUUUUGGGAAAGAUUCUGUGGAGCUUGGGCAUAAACUUGGGUUUGAGCCUAUGGAUAAUGAUGGUGUGGUCCUCUUGACCGUGCCUAUUAUCCAACUACAAUGGCAGAUGCAUCUUCCUCAUACUUUUUCCCUCCGAAAUUUCCCAAACCUUUUUGAAUUGCUUGAGCAGUCGCUUUCAAUGUUGUAAAACUUACAAUGCGGUCGGUUUUAAUUCCAUCCUCUAUCAUCUUCCCCAUUUUAAGGACCUCAAUAAAUGGCUUUCCUAAUGCAGGUAACAAGUGUUAAUACUAUGUUUCAUCCUACGCUUGAAUAAAUACCUCUACUAUCUUACUUUCUUUCAUUAACGGUUUUACCCUAGCAGUUUGUUCAUGCCAUCUAAUCGCAUACUCUCUGAAAGUCUCAAUAUUUUUUUUCUUCUUGUUAGUUAGGGAUUUCUCAUCAGGAAUUAAAUCCACAUUGUAUUGGAAUUGUUGCACAAAUUCAUUAGCUAGGUCAUCCCAACUAAUCCACUUGUCGAUGUCUUGGUCAACAAACCAUUCCGAACCUAGGCCUGAAAGACUCUCACCGAAAUAUGCCAUGAGUAAUUCUUCCUUCCCCCCAGCACCCCUUAGUUGGUUGCAAUAACGUCUCAAAUGUGCUACAGGAUUGCCAUGUCCAUCAUACUUCUCAAACUUUGGCAUUUUAAAACCAAAAGAAAGAUGAACCCCUGGAAACAUGCACAGAUCUUUAUAUGAGAUAGUUUUCUGGUCAUUUUCUCUUGUUCUUCUGUUAUAACAGGCUUCUCAGCGUUAAGAGGAAAUUCAGACGGGUGAGUAUAUCCAUAAGGAUUAGUCGACUUAAAUGUGGGCUCAAUAGCAUGAUUUUAAUCAGCAAAAAUAUUCAAUACAGGCUCUCUCGCAGAGUGGGGAGGCACAACUUGUGGAUAAACCUCAAAAGUAGGAGCUUCGGGUGGGGGUGGUGCUGCAAAAACAUAAACAAUGGGUAGAGCCGAGCAUGUGGUAGCUUUUUGUUGAGGAGUAAGGAAAUGAAUAUUGAAAGUGUUUGGAUAGUGUUGCCACAGAGCAGGUCCUGAUGCAAGUCGUGGUGUGUCAACAAAAAUAGGAAACUGUGUAUAUGACACCAGAGGCAAGCUACAAAGAUAUUCCAGAUUAUCAGCGGGAAAUGGAGGAGGUGGAAACCAAUGAGCCCAAGAUCAAUGCAUUUCUAUCAUUUGUUGCCUUAAUUUUUGAAUCUCUUCAUUAGCUCCUAAAUUCUCAUUGCCCGAACUCCCUAUCUGAUCAGUGAAAAGAAACUCGAUAUCCUUGUUGACCAUAACUUUCUCUAUGACUUGGUGCAAUAUGGAGGACCAGCCAAAAUGCCACAAACCAACCACCUUAAACUAACUGAACAAGAGAUAGCAAAUGCGUUAGAAUUGAACAUUUUUUUUUCAAAAUCUUUUUUUUCUUUUUGAAAAGGUCACCGAACCCAAGAGGGGCGCCUACGUAUCUCACCCCCGAAAGAGGAGAAUCAUGUGUGCGUAGUUCAUGAAGUCUUGCCAAAAUGGCCAAUUAAUUCUUUUUUCUUUCUUUUUUUUUUCAGAAACUUCAAAAAUAACAAAUUGUCAAAAGAAUUGACGAAAAUCUUUUUGCAUUUUUAAGGUUUAAACUCCUUAUACAAAACGAAACCUAUGAUUACCAAAGAAAAAUAUUUUUGGGUUUUCAAUUUUUUAAUUUCAUACGAAAAUGAGACUUGAAGCUACUAACAAAAAUUUAUUUUUGUGAUUUUCUUUUAAAGAUGUAUAGGAAACACCUACUUUAAAGAAAAAUUGAAGAAAAUCUCUUUUUUUGAAUUUUUCAAAUAAGAUCCCCGAACCCACAAUAGGUCGUCUACGUAUCUCACUCCCGAGAGAGGAGAAUCAUGGGUGCGUAGUUCGUCCAGAUUGGACAAUUAAGGAUUAAAUGACAAACUAAAUCCUGAAUUGAGAGACACGACUAAAGACAUACAAAUAAAAUCUUUUUGGAUUUUUAAUUAGAAACUAACACCAACAACUAUGAAAGGAAAAAAAUCUUUUUGAUAUUUUCGUUAUAUAAAAAUGUACAAAGCUCCUAUUGAAAGGAAAAAAUAUUUUUGGUGUUUUCGAAUUGUGAAUACUUACUAAAGAAAUAAAAGAAAAAUCUUUUUAACGUUUUUUAUUUUUUGGGAAAUGAGUGCAAAAAGUAAAAAAAUAUUUUUUUUUGAAUUGUGAAAAACAAAAGUCAUAAAGAACCCUAAAAACUACCAAAUCUCUUUUUUUUUCACUCUUUUUUUCUUCCUUUUUUUCAACAAUUUCUUGCCUACACACUUUGCUUCUUACUCAUGCUUUUUCCUAAAUCAGUCUAUCAAAUUACCACGUUACCCUCAAAGAUGCAACAUUUAGCACGUAGGGAUGCUUUUAGAGGUGAAUCUCAUACAAAGGGCCAUGCGAGUCCCGCUAGGUCUCAAUAUGAUGCAAAUAAACAUGACCUAAAGGCUGAACUAUGCUGGGGUCCACUAACAAGGCUGUUUAGGGGAGCGUAUGGUCGAUAAUGGAUUGCUUUAGCUGUCCACCUACUCCAUACAACCCAAUGGCUCCCCCUCAUAAAAUAAGGGUGACUCAACUAUAGGCCGUGUACACACGUAUACUACGAACUUGUUGCAGAAAGAAAGACUUGGGUUAUGCACAUUAUGUCAGAUAUAAAUCGGUAACACAUAAAGUAAAAACUGUAAACAAAGAGCACGUAGGCACUCAACAAUGAUAAACAAUGACACAAAACAACACAAACAAAACGUCUAUACACCUAUAGUGCCAAGCUAAGCCGAUACAAACUCCAAAAUAAGCUCGAAUUCUGAAAAAUCCUCAGCAGAGUUGCCAGAGCAGUCACACCCCUUUUUUUACCAAAAAUAUUAAUUUAAAGUUUCGAAGGGUUUUCAUUCUUAAGUGACAAAAUGGAGGUUUAUUUCCAAAAGGACUUUUUUAAUUUAAAACUCAGAGUUGCCACUUGGCAUAAUCCGGUAUGUCAAGUCACCUUUGGAAAUCCUUUUCAAAAAGGUUUUGACUCUAUAACUGAUCUGCGAACAGAGAUUCCGAUUAAGGAAUUCUGUUAACCGAGGAAAAAGUGUUAGGCACCCCUCGAUCCCAUGGUUCAACCAUGGUCUCUUGGUGGAGCGUAUCGGUUAAUUUAACAUUAUGAAUAUAUAAACCACACAAAAUCACAGAAAACAAUCAAUCAAACAAACAAACCAAACAAAUCCAAAAUUAUAGUGUCUUGUCCGAUUAUUACAAUCUCGAAAUAGAAAAAUGCGAAAAUAUAAGCCUAUUCUAUUCUAUGCAAAUUCUAAACUACACUCCCUUGCUUUCUCCACCUAACGUUCCGAGCCUUGAUCGUGCAUCGUCUUCAAGUACAUGGUACUUCGGGGCAUUCCCUGGAUAAAUCAAUACAAAUUCCUCGGGGAAUCCCCCAACCAAAUGAAUACAAUAGAUCCUAAUGCAUAAAUCAAAACCAUUCCAUAUACAUUUCAUCAUUCAACAAUCACAAAUCCUAAGUUUUGUGUACCCCCUAUCGCUUGACUAUCCUUACGACGAACUAUCUUAUGCUACUAUUAUGUUCAACAUAAUGAAUCAAAAUUAAUCCAAAUUCAACGACAUCCCUAUCCAUUUCAUGUCAAACAACCGAUUCAAAUUAAUUCAUUAAUCUCCGAUUCCCAUCCCCAAAUUUAUACAAGACAGUUUAAACAUAAGAACAAUUAUCCAUCCAUAUCAUCAUCGAUUUCAUGAUUACGACUACUUAUUCAGGUAAAACAACACCAAUUAUCAACAAAAUUAUUCAGUUAACAAACAACGCACUACCACAACAUCCAUGCACCAAAUAUCAUAAACAAGGAAGUCAAAAGAGUAAAGAUUAGAAAUAGACCUUCAAAGAAUGGAUUUCGUUGAGAAUAAUGUUUUAGAAGGCGAAUGGAUUUCGUUGAGAAUAAUGUUUUAGAAGGCCCGGACUUAGAAUACCGAAUAGAAUACCUCAACAACAAACUAAAAUCCAAAUCGGUAUUUGAAAAAUUACAACCCGCAACAGACCACGAUGAACAGACUGACCUAAACCAAAUAUAGUACCUACAUUGACUGAUUUCGGAAUUGAUUUGCACAAAAAUGGGUGACGCUGCUGUUGUUAUCCUGGACGUCAUAAAUUGAUCCGGACCAAAUUCUAAACCAGUAAGACAAACUCAAUACGAACUACUAAAUCGAUAAUUUUGAAUAGAAUUGUGAAUCCAAAACCAAAACUAGUUUGACCCAGAAUAGUAAUCGUGAAAACAAACCAUGAACUAACCCAUUUCCGAUCCGACGAAAAUAGACCACCCCCUCCCAAAAUCCGGCGAGCUUAUUGGGUUUUUCCUCACUUUUUUUUGUUUUCUUCUCAGUUUCUGAUCUUCGGUCUCCCUCUCUCACAUAUGAUUCACUCUUGUUCCCAACUAUUUUUUGUUCUCAAUAGCUGGGUGCGUGGAUGGUAGUGUGGAUUUCACUUCGUUGAGGUUCCUUUUUGGUGACAGUGGUGUGUAUAUGUGAUAGUGUGUGUAGAUCUCUUGGGACCAAGAAAAAAGAAAAAGAAAUGGAGUAUGUAUGUGAUGGGUGAGGUCCUCCGUGAGAAUGAGUGUUGCUGUGAUGGUGGAGAAGAAAAGAAAAUUCUCCACUGUGUGUUAUGCAUCUAUGGUGAAGAAGCCAUUGAGAUUAUUCUAUGUGGAUGUUGAGAAAGUGAGGAAUUUUUGAAGUGUUCUUCUGUGCCCAUGGUCAAUUGAGAGUGGUGAGUAUAUGGGUCUAUGUGUAUAUUCAAAUUGUGCCCCUUCUAAUUCUCCUCCCUCAAUUUGGUAUUUUUUUUAAAGUAUAUAAAAUGGAAAAGAUCCCUAUGAGUUGUAUCCCCCAAUUCCCAUGCCCCCCCCCCCCUUCCUUUUUUGUUGUAUGUGUAAUUUGUUAUGAACAAAGAAGGAAAAAAUGUGAGAUGGAAAUGGGUGGGGUCACGUGGGUAGGUAGGGUAGGGGUAGGGUGUGGAUGAGGUGUAAAAAUUAGUUAGGAUAAGGGAAUAUUUUGGGAUUAGUGAUUUAAUUUGUUAGGAUUUGUUGUAUUUGUUUUCUUGUAGGGAAUGUAUAGAAUGGGUGAGGGUAUAAUAAAGUGAGUUAAAAAUGAAUAAAAUUGGACUUGGGAGGGACAAAAUUAGGUGUCUACAGCAAACACAGAGGCAAACGAAGAUACCAUGGCAUGAUUUUGUACACAAAUGAUCAAAUAAUGACAUGAUAAGCACCACAGAACAUGCUUUCUAACACGUUAAAGCAUCCAAUGAGUAAAUAGAUAAUUAAAUUUCAUCGUUUUAGGUGCAUACAGGUGAGCAGCAAUAAGAAAUAAUAGAAAUAAUAAAGAAGAACACUUGUGAGAAUACGAUGCGGGGAUCCCACUAAGCCUCAUAGAAAACCAAAGAAGAAUAUCUAAUUGCUUUUUCAUUAAAAUAAUCAAUGAUUUUUGUUAGGAUAGUAAUGAUUGUGUCACUUGUCUGUUAACGGAAAAGAAUAGUUAUUUAUAUAGUGGGAGAGUAGAGAAGUAAAAGGUGAGGAAUAGGUAAUAAAAUCAAUCAGUGUCGAUAUGAAAGGAAAAUAAAAUAUUCUAUAAAAUCAAUCAAUAAGUUAAUCAAUUGAGUGGGCGAGAGAUAUGCUAAUUCGUCGGUUAAGAAAAUUUUUUCCUUUAAAUAAGUGAUCCAAUCAAUCUAAGGGAAAAGUAAAAAAGGUAAAAGAUUAUUCAAGAAAAAUUCAAAUCUGUAGAUUGAAUCCCCAAGAGGAACAAAAUAUGUUAAGUUACCAUAAAUGUAUACACACAAUUUGUCAUGUAUAUGUAAAGAAAAGUAAGAAAGCUCAUUUCUGCCAUAAAUAUGUAACCAUGAUGCCAUUAUUUUGUUUAAAGAAAAAUACAACAAACCAAUCGAUAAACAUAUUCUCAUUCACAUACAAGUUAUAAAUAUUCAAGUAAUAUUUACUAAAAAUGACUCAAAUGAAAGGAAAAGUUGUCUCAAUUUCAACGAGGAAACUGAAUCAAUUAAUAUCAUACCAAAUAAGAGAAUCUUCAAUUAGUAAAACAUCUAUUUACGACAUGAAAUCUCAUCAACCAAAUAUGAGAGAAAAUAAUAAAGUUUCAGUGUAAGGCAAAGUAAAAAUCAGUCACGUAAUUAUCCCUUCAACAAUAACCCAAUUCACAUCAACACGUCAACAGUCUAUCUCACUAUGUAGGAAUUAUGAUGAAGUGUCAAGACAUGAGUAUAUGCUAAAGUAUUUCUAACACCACAAUUGAUAGAAACUGUGGUUCAUUACACAGACAAUCUAAACAAGUAGUCAAUAACGAAUUAUAAAGAAUCGCACCAAAACAUCAAUCGGACUCCGUCAGUUUUAAACCUUAAACUUUGUCAAAGAAAAGAAAAGAAGAGGAUAGGACUAAUUAGACAUGCAACUUCAACAUGUAAACAAACUUGUGGAUGGGUUAUUGAGAGCCCAUUUUUUUUUUCCAAAAAUGGGUCAGCGGUGCAGAGAAGGUUGGUGGUGGGUGGACGGCGGAGAUGACUUGGGGCGGCGACGAUUGGUUCGCGGAGGAGGUUAGAGUACAAGGGGGUCUCAUGGUAAUGUUAGAGCGGCGCUGGCGUGCUGGUUCAUCGUCGAAAGGGGAAAACAAAGGGAGAGAUGGUGAUAGAGGCGGAGGGGAAUGGUGGUGCGGCGCUGGCAGCAGCGAGGAUGGAUGGCGGUACACGAGGAAGGGAGCUGUCUUCACUGUCAUUUCUGUUUUGCCAGAAAUGGAACUUUUUCCGGUGGUUGAGGCAGCUGUGGCUCGUGGCGGGGUUAAUGGUGAAUGGAGGGACGACACCAGAGCGGGCUAGUCGCUGGUUGUUAUUCGACGACAUUGGGGAUGAUUUUUCUAGAGGGAGAAGAGAGAGAGGUUUAUGGGGAGAGGGAGAGAGAGGUGGAUGAGAGAGGGAGGUAGAGGCUGAUAGGAACGAAAAAUUAAGGUUAGGUUUGGUUUCGGCUGUAUAAAAGGAAGAUAAAAGGGAUUUAAUCUCAGUCGUUAGUUCAAUCUUGAUCAACGUCUGACAUUUAAGCUUAUGUGGAAUUAAAAAUGUGACUAUGAUAAUAAUAGAUUAGGCUAAAAUUGACGUCAAUAUGGCUAAAAUUAACAUGAAUAAAAUGUAAAUUGGCUAGAUUUGUAAUAGAUAAGGUAAAAAUUAAGCUAUAAGAUAAAUAAAUUAGACAAAUUGAUUUAAAAAAUAGGCCGUUAUUUAAAUUAAAGUAGAGAUAAUAAUAUAUAAUGAUAAUAAUAAUAAUAAUUAAAUAAUAAAUUAUAAUAAUAAAUAAUAAAUAAUAACAUAUAUAAUAAUGAUUUUAAUAAUAAUAAAUAAAAAUACUAAUAUAAAUAAAUAGUAUUAAAUAAUGAAAAACUAGACAAUGUGUUUUGAGAAAAAAAAUCUGAGUGUGCACAAUUACGUGAAAAAAUAAUUUAAUAAAAUUACAUAAAAUAUCAUAUUUAAAAAUUAUAAAAUGAUGCUAAAAGAUAGUUAAAUAAUUUAUGCAUUUUUAUGAAUUAUUAAUGCGAUACGUUAGUACAUAUUUAAUGUAAAAAAUGAUGUGUAAAAAUAUUGAUAAUUAAAAUUUAAUAAUUCAAUAAAAAUAAUAGCCUAAAACUGAUAUCGGGAGGUCAAAAUUGGGUGUCAGCACCCAUCGUAUGUCUGGGGGUGUCUCUUUGAAUGAUCACCUAACUUUAUUUAAGGAAAUCGUCUCUAAUUUAGAGACUCUGGAGGUUAAGUACAAUGAGGAAGAUCUAGGGUUAAUUUUGCUAUGUUCGCUGCCUGAAUCAUAUUCGACCUUUAGGGAUAUAAUUUUAUAUAGUCGUGAUACCCUAACCCUAGCUGAAGUCUUGUGAAUGGGUCGGUGACUCAAGGAAAUGGUCUCAUUAUUCGAGGAAGGACUCAUGAAAGGAACUCUGGAGGUGAUGACAAGAAUAGGUCAAAAUCUAAAAACAGAAACAAAACCUAUAAUUACUGCCAGAAGAAGGGCCAUAUCAAAUCUAAGUGUUAUAAGUUACAUAAUAGAAAUAAAUGGGAAGCUGAAAACUAGAAAGGAAAAUAACCAGAGAAGUCCGAUGAAGCCAAUUUUAUUGAAAAUGGCAGUAGUGAUGGAGAACUCUUGGUAGUUUCUGAUGGUAACUCCAAACCCUGUGAGAAUUAGAUUCUUGAUUCAGCUUGUACAUUUCAUAUGUGUCGGAAUCGGGAUUGGUUUAAAAUAUAAGAAAUGGUCUCUAAAGUUGCUAUGUUAAUGAAAAAUAACACACCUUAUAAUAUAGCUAGUAUUUGAAUAAUUAGGAUUAAGAUGUUUGAUGGGGUUGUGUGGACACUUGCUAUUGUGCGGUAUUUCCCUGACCUGAUGAGAAAUCUUAUUUCCUUGAGUAUCCUUGAUUCGAACGGAUAUAUGUACACCGGUGAAGGUGGAGUCCUGAAGGUUAGUAAAGGUGAUCUUGUUGUGAUGAUGGGACAGAGAAAAACUGCUAAUUUAUACGUCUUGCAAGGCUUUACGGUAACAGGUGAUGCUAUUUUUUCUACGUUCUCUCUAUCAGAUAGUGAUGUUGCUAAGCUUUGGCAUAUAAGUCUGGGAUAUAUGAGUGAAAACAGGAUGGCUGAACUGGCUGAACUAAGUAUGAGAGGCCUUCUUGAUGGCUAGAGUAUUUCCAAAUUGGAGUUUUGUGAGCACUACAUUUUUGGGAAGCAGAAGAGAGUCAGAUUCACAAAAGGCAUCCACUCUGCUAAAAGCACACUUAAUUACAUUCAUUUUGAUCUCUGGGGUCCUUCUAGAGUUUCUAGAGAAUGUGCUAAUUACAUGUUGACUAUAAUUGAUGACUAUUCCAAAAAAUUUUGGGUGUACUUCCUAAAGAAAGAGAAUGAUGUAUUGCCUAUUUUCAAUGAGUGGAAGACUAUGAUUGAAAAACAAACAGAGAAGCAGGGAAAACGCCUUCGAACUAAUAAUAGUUUAGAGCUCUAUUCUAAUGAAUUUAAUGUUUUGUGCAAGUUAGAAGAAAUUGUGAGGCACUUAACAGUUCAUCAUACUCCGCAGCAGAAUGGUGUGGCUAAUGAAUGAAUAGGACUAUAACAUAGAAGGUACAUUGUACUCUCUCUAAUUCUGGUUUACCCAAGUCUAUUUAGGCCGAAGUUGCUUCCACAAUUUAUCUUCUUAUUAACCGCUCUCGUCCAGUUGCAAUUAACAAAAAACUCCACAAGAGGUAUGGUUUUGUACUCCUGCUAGUUACUCUGAUUUGAAGAUUGUCCUUCUUAUGCUCAUGUUGAUAAUGGAAAGUUGGAACCUAGAUCUAUCAAGUGCUUAUUUAUGGGUUAUAAGUCUGGUGUUAAAUGAUUUAAGCUUUGGUGUCCAGAAAAUAGAAAGGUUAUAAUUAGCAGGGAUGUUGUGUUCGAUGAAACUAUCAUGCUUUGGGCUUCGCCCCCAGAUGAGCCUAGUGACAUAAAUGAGCAAAAGUCAAGCACCACGUUGAGUUACAGAUUGGAGCCAUACCAGUGCCUACUUCUCAGUCUAGCCUGGAGAUACUAAGUGAUACUAUUUCUUCUUCACUACCAUUGGCACCAUAAUAUUCUAUUGCUAAAGAUAGACCUAGGAGAGAUAUUAGACCUCCUCAUAAGUAUGGUGAAGCUGAAUUGGUUGCUUAUGUAUUGAAUGUAGCAGAAGGUAUUGAUUCUGGUGUAGAACCUUCUUCUUACUCAGACACAUUUAGUUGUGAUGAUUUUAGCCGAUGGAUGAUUACUAUGCAAGAGAAAAUGGAAUCACUUCAUAAGAAUAACAGAUGGAUUUGUUUAGAUUCCCUAAAGAUAAAAAAGAUGUCUAUUGCAAGUGGAUAUUUUAAAAAAAAGGAACAUCGUGAGUUGAAGAUGCUAGGUACAAAGCAAAACUAGUUGCUAAAGGUUACAAUCAGGUUCUAGGUGUUGACUUCACAAAUGUGUUUUCUCCAGUUGUAAAGUAUAGUUUGAUUCGAUCCUUUCUUUAUAUCGUGGCCAUGCACAAUCUUGAGCUUGAGCAGUUGGAUGUCAAAACUGCAUUCAUACAUAGAGAACUUAAGGAGGACAUCUAUAUGCAAUAACCAGAGGGUUUUGUAGUCUUAGAAAAGUAGGACGAUGUAUGCUUGCUGAAAAAGUUCCUUUUAUGUCUUAAAACAGUCGACCAGAUAGUGGUAUAAGAGGUUUGACUCUUUUAUGACUUCACAUAUGUUUAGGAGGAGUAGUUAUGAUAGUGUGUCUAUUUCAAGGAGGUAAGUGAUGGUUCGUUCAUGUAUCUUCUCCUGUAUGUUGAUGAUAUAUUAAUUGCAGCGAAGGAUAUAAGAGAGAUAAGAAAAGUCAAAGCCCAGCUCAGUAAGGAGUUUGAGAUGAAGGAUUUAGGAGCAACAAAGAAGAUCCUUGGAAUGGAAUUCUGAGGGAUAGAGAGAAGUGUAAGUUAUACUUGAGUCAGAAAAGGUACAUUGAGAAAGUGCUUCACCGAUUCAAUAUGCAAAAUGCCAAACCUGUUAGUACUCUAUUGGCAUCUCAUUUCAAAUUCUCAACCACAUUAUGCCCAAUGACAGAUGAUGAGCGUAACUAUAUGUCUCAAGUUCCAUACUCUAGUGUUGUUGGGUCUCUUAUGUAUGCGAUAGUGUGGUCACGACCAGUUUUAUCGUAUGCAGUCAGUGCAGUUAGCAUAUACAUGCAAAUCCUGGUAAAGAACAUUGGAAAAUAAUUCAGUGGAUUUUCAGAUACUUGCAUGGAUCUGCUAAUGUUUGUUUGCAGUUUGAGCGAAAUAGAGAUGUAGUGAUCGAGUAUAUUGAUUCUAAUUUUGUAAGAGACCUUGAUAAAAAGAGGUCCCUUACAGGCUAUGUUUUCACCAUUGGCGGUUAUGCUAUUGGUUGGAAAGCUACUUUACAGACUACAGUUGCUUUGUCAACUACUGAGGUAGGGUACAUGGCUAUUACAGAUGCUUACAAGGAAGCUAUUUGGUUAAAGGGUCUAUUUGGUGAACUUAGCAAAGACUUACAAAUUACAACCAGGGGUGGCUCAAGCGUAUUGGUCGCCUAAUGCGAAAAUCAAAUAGAGGCCUUAAACUUUUUAAAAAAAAAUAAUUUUUUUACUAACUCUAUUUUCAAAAUUAUAUAAUAGAUUUUUUCUAAUUAUUUUUUUUAAGUAACAAUAUAAUUAAUGCAUUUAAUCUUUCUUGAGACAUCAUACUCUAUACAUAUCAACUUCUAAUAAUUCUUUUUUUUAUAUAAAAAAAUAAUUUUUCUAUAAAUAAUAUUUAUUUAUUUUUAAAAAAAUCUAUAAUAUAUUAUCAUGAAAAAUGAGGCUCCUCAAAUUUGGGGGCCUAAGGUGACCGCCUAUUUUUUUCUAAGGUAGAGCCGUCCCUGAUUACUACUAUCUUUUGUGACAUUCAGAGUGCUAUCUUCCUUACAAAAAAUUAGAUGUUUCACUAGAGGACAAAGCAUAUCAAUGUUCGGUAUCAUUUUGUGCGUGAAAUUAUUGCUCAUGGAAUGUUGUGUUAAGCAAGAUUAGUACUCAUGAUAACCCCAUUGAUAUGAUGACCAAGAAACUACCAAGUGCCAAGUUUGAGCAUUGCUUGGACUUGGUUGGUGUCAGCAGUUAAGAUGUGCCCUUAGGGGUUUUUAUAGAAGAGGUGGAGAGUUUUCUUAAAACGGAUUUGAGUUCUGAAUUAGAAUUCGUGUCAAGGUGGAGAUUGUUAGAGUUUGUGACCCAAAUUUCGUUGAUCUGCCCCUGAAAAGUUCGUGGUGCGAGCCAUGUUAGUAUGUUUUUGGGCCUAGGAUUUAUUUUUAUGCACGUAUUAUAUAAGAGCAAUUUAGUGGGUCGUUUUGGACGUUUUUAAUAUGUCAUUCUCCUCAUUGUAGUAUCCAUCCUUCAUAGUGAAUUUCCUCUGCCUUUGCCCGUGGUUUUUCCCGCAAAGGUUUCCACAUAAAUCUAUGUGUCUUGUUCUUAUUUUAUUUUGUUUUGUUGUAUUGCUUAUUCUACCCGAUUAUAACAGUGAAGCUGCCGAAAGUACUGCCUACUGUACCAUCAUCCUGGCAUCUUUUCGUUUGCUCUAAUUUUCUUGAUUUUGGGUUAAAGUACGGUGAAUAUGCAAUUGUUAUAUAGAUUGUACCAGUUAAAUUUCUGCCCUUUUUUGACUCCUUAAGUAGGAUUCAAGGUCUUUUUGCUGAUUUUUUCAACUGGACUGGUUCAACUACUGCGUAACUUAGAAGUGUCUCCACACCUCAAAAUGUGGUAGGUAGAACUAAGGGAACAAAAAAAGGCUUUUCCGGUGGAUGAAGGAUCCUACAUUUAGUAGGGUCUGGGGAAGGGCCAUACCUCAAGAGAGUGUGAAGGUUAAAUCUGUGAUCUAUAGGCUAUAGGGGUACAAUUUUACCAUUGCUUCAAGACUUUUAGCAAUUUUGGAUAAUUAAGCAUAUCAACCGUGGCACAAAAAUACUAUUGUAACAACUAAUAGCAGGGACAACCUCUUUUCAGUACCAUCCCCAUUUCUUCCUUGCUCCUGCCAGUCUCUCCAUUAAUGAUUUCGAAGUUUAGAAAUUGCAUAUUAAUGCAUUUAAAUCAUAAGAACAUUGAGGUUAGCUUGCUGAAAGUAUCAUUCUUUACUGUUGGAGUUGUUCACCUUCCAGUUAUUGAGCAAUUCAAAUAGUUCAAUUACUUUAAAAGUAACAAAAACUAGUUAUGUGAUUUACUGUUAUAGUGGGUUACUUUCCGUAAUUAAUUUGAUGUGACAAGAUAAUUUUGUCACUUCAAUAUUACAUAUAUGAAAUUAACACGAAUUAUAUGUAUGUUAUAAUGAAGUUUAUAUGUGCUUUAGGAACUGGAAUUGGGGUGGAGAUGGAGUAAUUGUUGGAUCAAUAAUUGGAUUCUUCCUCUUAAUGAAUAAGAGGAAUGUGGGGAAACAAAUGACUUAUAAGUUACAUGAGUUAUAAAACAUAAAUAGGAAGAACUAUUAGUGAAUAAUUAGUGAGAUGUAACAAAAGAAAAAUGCCACAUUCAUUCUUCCACAAUUAAACAUGGAAGAAGAGUCAUCAAAAGACCAUUUUUACAACAAUGAAAUGUGGGAGAUAAAGAUCAAAAGAUACUCUAGUAUGCAGCACUUCAAUGCACAUCAACAUGCACCAUUUCAAUAGCAAAUUUAUUAUUAAAAUGCUUUAAAAACCCAAUAAUUCCAAAAAAAAAAAACAAUCAUUCAACUAGAUCAAAACUUGAAAAUAGUCAAGUAGGAGAAAUAAAACAUUGUCCCCAAUUUUCUAAUACUACUUCUUUAUUGAGAAUCACAUUUCUGGGCUGAUCACUGCGCUUUUUCAGAGCUUUUCAAUUGACGUUGCUGUGAAAUUUCUGAGAUAUGUUAGACGAUGUUAGAUUAAAAAGAAGAGAGUUAGACCAUAAAUAUAUUUAAUUAUCAUAUGAACUACAGAGUUAUUUUUAACAAAAAAAAAAAAAUUAUGUUUGAUGAUUACUGAACGAUAACAAUCUUCCGAAACAAUAUGAAUUAAAGAUUGAAAAUAAUGUUAUUUCAUAGAAUUGUCACUACAAAAAUAUAGAAAUUAGCAAUGAUUAAUUAACUUUUAUCAUUAAACAAAGUCCAUCUCUAAUCCUUUUAAUUACUGAGUGUUUUGAUAAGACUUUCCAAAACUAAAGGUUGAAUAAUGUCGAAAUAUUUAUUGGUGAAAGUGAUAGUAUUACAUUUAAUUUUUCUUUUUUACUAUAGAUAUACAAUUUUAAAAUUAAGUAGUUAUAGAAAGAAUAACUUCUCAGACAAGUGUUUGAUAAAAACUAGUUUCAAUCAAAACAUUUUGUAAAAUAAAAAUUUGUUAAAUCACUUUUAUAAAAUAAUUUCUUUUUGCAGAAAAACUGCAGUAAAUGCAUUCAAAAGUUACAUAAUUUGUCACUUUAAUUUUUUUAAAGACAACUAGAGAUGACUUGCAAUUUGCAUCCUUAUAAGACCAGGCACAUUAAUCAUUUCCAGAAUAUUCUUUGGGUAACAUUCUACAUGGUCCACAAGUAAGCAAUAUAAUUUAAUGACUAUAAUAUUUUCAAAUCAAGCCAAGAUACUUAUAAAUACAAACUGAUAUUAGACAUAAGUAUAAAUUUCACCUAUUCAUGUUGCUCUUUAGAAAUAAAUUGUAAGGAAAUUUAAUUAAUAGUAAAAUAAACUUACUUCCUUUACCAAGUUGCUGUAAACUAUUAUGAAUUUGGCAUGAAGAUCCCCAGUCCACAUUAUGUUGUCCUUUUGCUUAACAUCCUUGUUAUUUUUGAGGUAGAGAUGAGCUCCAUCUUUCAUAGCUUGCUUUUGUAAGAGCUCAUUGUGUUCAUCACAUACAACUGUGCAUUUAUUUUAAGGAGAUAUCAAUUAAAAUUGAAUUAUAUCACAUAUUAUAUGACUAGUUAACUUCACACAUAUUUAUAAAAUUUGUUUAAUUAUAAAAAUAACAUUACAAAACAUACUAAAAAUAGGAGUUAUCGAUGGAUAGUUUAUGUCGCUAAACAAUAAAAAAUUUAUUACUAAUUUUAUUUAACGAUGAAUUAUGUUAAAUUCUUUUAGCUCCAAACUAUUUAACGAUAUAUAAUGGUAAAUUUUAGAAUAUUUUUUUUAUUGUGUAUUUAUAAAAAUAAUUGAUUUUAUCCACAAUAGAUAUCAUAACUAAAAGAGUAUGGAAAAUUACUUGAGGAAUUUUAUCCAAAGCCACAACUCAAUCAAAAAGUUUUAAAAAAUCAAGGUUCGGCGAGUGGAUAUUUAUCAUCAUCAUAUCAAUUUUUGUAUUUCCUUCAGAAAGCAUUGACAUUGAUGUCGAAGACGUAUCAACCAUGAUAACGGUAUUAAUACAUUUUGAAAGUCAGUAAAAUGUUUACCCAAAAAAAAGUAAGUCUGUAAAAUAAAUUAUACGCAAAAUUACUAUAAAGAUUUAUCUUUCAUAUACAAUUUCGAUAUUAAUUUUUAGGUUUAUUGCUACUCUUUUGUUUAUGCAAUUGCACAUAUAUAAACUUAUAUUAUAAUCAAGGGCGGAGCCAGGCCUUGUUAGGGGGUUCGGUCGAACCCUCUUCGACAGAAAAAUACAUCAUUUAUAUAUGGUUAAAAUUAUUUUUAUGUAUUUAUAGUAGGUGUUGAACGCCCUUCGACUGGGUUUUCUUUGAUUAUUGAACCCUCUUAGUCGAAAUUCUGGCUUCACCUCUGAUUAUAAUCAAUAUAUACAAUUUUAUACAUAUUUACACAAAAAAAUUAAUUAACAUAUAAUAAUUUAGAAUGAAUAGUUGAAUCUAUUAUAUAGAAUAGGAAAAGCAUAGUAAUGACACACAUAAGUAUCAUACAAUUUCAAGCUUGAAAAUUAUUUAAAACAAAAAACUUGAGAAAAAAGACCAGUUCAGCUUUCUGAUAUCAACAAAGUGAAUUCAAACUCAAAUUCAAAUUUAGAUGUCCUAUCAUAAUCACACUAUCACAAUAUUUGAUUAUUUAAAUAAACUUAAACAUGAAUAUGUAUUUUGAAUUAUUAUUUUAUUAUUUUUAAAUGAAAAAUUAAAAAUAAUUAGAAUUGUAUUGAUUAAAAUGCCAUGUUUAUCAUAUAAAAUUAAAAAUUAAAAUCAAAAUAUUCAAAAUUAAAAUUAAAAUUAAACAAAAUUAACAAUAUCGCUUCCUAUAUUGUGUAUGUGUAUUACUUUUCUUUUUUCUUUUUAUUUCCUAUCUAGUGCUUGGCAUCUAUAUUAUUGGAACCCGAUUAAUCUGGAUUCGUGUGCGUGAUGUCCAUUCGGAGGAGGCACCCCUAUCAAGAAUUUUAUCAUAUCCAAGAAUCAAAUAUGAAACCUCCAGUUAAAAAAGGAGUAGCUCCAAUUGGAUAUACUUUUUUUUACUGAAGGUAAAAUAUUAAAUAUAAAUUAGUGAAAAUAUUAGAGUUUAUUGAAAUUUUAGUAUAUAAGGAAUAAAAUGAAUAAAGUGAAAACAUUACAGAAGUACAGAUACGUGAGAUGUCAAAACGAUAAAAUAAUAUGUUAGCUUAGAGUGGAAGAAAAAACUCCUCAAAAUUAAGAGGGGAAUUUCAAUUAAAAAGAAAAUUAUUUUUCAUGAAAAUCAUAUUUUCUUGCUUUUUUUUCCUACAUCUAAUAUAAGAUAAAAAAAAAGAAAAUUAUCUCGCGAUCAAUAGUAAUAAUAAUUAAAUCGAUGUUUUCCUUGGUCUUUCCCUUCCCGCUCAAUUUCCUAAUCUUGUGUCACCUCUACCAUCCAAACUAUUGUUUUAAAAUGGUAGAUAGACUAUAAAAGUCAAAAGAUUUGCACCUUCAAAAAUUAUUCUUAAGAGAUUUAAUUUAUUUUCACUUCCGAUUCUAUAUCACUUUGACCUAUUGACAAAAAUUAUUUAUUCCUCCCUUUUCCUUCAAAAAGAUCAAGCGUAAAACAAUUUUAAAGUCAUUAAAUAAUUAAUAAAAUGGUGUCCCUUCAAGGAGAUUUGAUAAAAUUUAAAGGAUACAUAUUAAGUAAAACUACCGUCCUCCUCUGAAAAGUCAUAGGGAAAGCUAAUGGAGUAAGUUAUAAAGAAUAUAAUUUAAUUCCUGAUAAACACAUAAAACUCAUUUUAACUAGUAAAACAACAUAAACAAACAUAGAAAUGAUGUUGUGACAACUAGGAAAAGAAAAAUUCAAAAUUUAUAAGAUAAAAAUAAAAUUUUAAAAGAGAUNNNNNNNNNNNNNNNNNNNNNNNNNNNNNNNNNNNNNNNNNNNNNNNNNNNNNNNNNNNNNNNNNNNNNNNNNNNNNNNNNNNNNNNNNNNNNNNNNNNNNNNNNNNNNNNNNNNNNNNNNNNNNNNNNNNNNNNNNNNNNNNNNNNNNNNNNNNNNNNNNNNNNNAGCCGUCUGCGAUGAAAUUGUAUUGAUAAUAUGCGGUAACCCUAAUGAGCAUAGGGAGGAUUAAUUUAUAGAGAUUGAGACUUAAUCUGGUACGUCCAUCAAAUAGAUGGUGGACGAACAAGAUCUAUUCUUUAUUAAAUAUUAGUUAUAUAUUUUAUAUUAAUUGCUCCACAAAUUAAAAAAAAAAGGAAAAAAAUUAAAAUAUACAACCUUAGGUUGUUUAUUGUAAGUCAUACCAAUACUUUUUAGAUUGGAAGUCAUAGCAAUUUUAAAAAUAAAAAUAAAUAAUUUUUUUAUUUUUGUAAAAAAAAAAAAAACUUAAAAUAAGACAUUGGUUACUAAAAGAAAUCAACCACCCCACUUUUUUUAAAAAAAUAAUUAAACCUCAAAAACAUAUAGGCAAGGAGGGUUAGACCUUAACUUACCAUUCUUAAUGAGGUAACAAACCCUCAACUAAUCAACAACUGUGUAAAAAUAAGAACUAGAGAGAACUAGAUAUUUUAGGAUCAUUAUAGAAUUUAUGUUACACUCUAUGAUGAUAUUACAAAGAAGGAUGCUUAAGUAGUGAAAAAAUAUAAAGAUGAACGAGAAGUUUGAGUUAUUAAUCACGAACUCCUUUUUAUAAAUGUAUGAACUAAAAAGAAAUGUUGGCCCAUCAAAAGUACAUUGAUAUAUUCGAUACUUCCUUCUUCAUCGAACCUAUUCAAAAUCACUUGAAAAUUCAUCACUUCUUGAAUUUGUUGGGUCUUAUUAAAGUUGUUGACACUAUCGCAUGAUUUUUCUUUGUCGGUGGUGUCUUGGAACAAACUCCUCUAUCACCUUAGCAUCCCAACUUUGAUUUUUAUCGUGACAUGUUUUUAUUUUUCUAUUUUUUUUGCCCAGGAGAGAUAUUGACAUCCCGAGCUGCACUUGCAAUGCAUAUUUCUAGCAUGUAUUCAUCACUUUCAUCAAAUAUGUCAUAGUCUUGGAGGAUUUCAAAACUCUUUGAAGACAAUGUAUCACUUUCCACCAAUUGUUUGGUAGUAUUAAUUCUAGAAAGGAAAUUAAUUACACCACCUGAAGUUUGCUUGUAGCUUGAUGAAUAAUUAUUAAUUGCAAAUUUAUUUGGGACAAAAAUUGAAGCUUGAGCAUUAAGUUUGCUGCCAAUAUUAUCCGACUGAUGUUCGUCUUCUUUAUUUACCAAAUCUGCCUAACAAAGAGAGCUAGUAUCACUUUGUUGCACCUAACAGAAUCAAGUUAUUGAUUUUUCUUUAAUACUUAAGCCACCUCUGGAUUUAAUAUAACCAUUGUAGGUUUUUGGGAUUAAUUUCAUGACCAACUUUAUCCGAGAGAAGAUCAAAAGUAAUUGGUUGAGAAAUGUCCUUUGGGGAAGAAGCUCGAGCAUAUGGAACAUUCCUUUCUAGCUGCACAUUAACGCGAGCAUGAGAGCCAAUUCGAAUACCAAAAUAUUUUUUAUGUGCUA
rnacentral:lncRNA from 1 species